ensembl:lncRNA LINC01905 long intergenic non-protein coding RNA 1905
GUUUCAUGUGUGUUUCUGUUUAAAGACACCUUAUUUAAUAUAUGUUGUUGAUUCAUUAAUAUUGAACACAUGGCCAAAAUCAUUAUAACUCAUUCCUAAAUGAUGCUUAUCUAACACAUAUUUUCUUCAUUAGGUACAUCCCAGCCUUCUUGCACAUAGAAACACUACACAGCACUUCAGCUGUAUGUUUGGGGGCCAUUUUAAACAGCAAAAUCAUCAACAGGAAGCAGAAAAUUGUAAAAAUUGUGGCACUAAAUAGACCAUGUAAAGGACACAUGUUUGCAAUAAGAAAGCUGAAACAAGAAGGGGGAGUGUCACCUUAUUUGAUCCAGCUAGAAACUCAGGUGCUGGUAUUCCAGCAACACUCAGGCGGCUGCUCCAGGAGGCUGCAGAGGGGUCCUUUUUAGCCGUCAACAAAACUGGCUAUGGUCACGCCCAUUGGGAAACUCAUUGCUGCCUUCAAGGACUCAGAAGCUGUAGGAAUAUUCAGGCACAGACACCAGACCCAGCUUCAUCUCUAACUUGUGGCAAAGGACAGUACAUCCUGGGAUGGGACCCUAUGCUCCCCUAUGCCAUUUAGACAGAGCCUGGGGAGAGUGACUUCCCAGGGUAUCCAUGUUGGAAUCUCUCAUUUGAUUCUUAUUCAAAUUUAGGUUCUGUCAAUAGAAGAUACUAAAGAAAGAAAGCCAGGAGAAGAAAAGGGACUUCUUUCUUCAAGGUCUAAGCUGUUCUAAUAGCAUUAUUCUGGGAAUGGCAUCUUCCACUCCUCCUAGUACAAAGAACCUGCUUCCUCAUACCCCGUCAAGGAACUGCAGCAUCCAGGUACUUUCUCUGCCUCAAAGGUCUGCAUCCCAUUCUCCAUUUGGCCCCUCCUUUGAACUACCAGAUCUCCGGCUGGAUUGCCUUUUUGUUCUGGAAUUUUCUAAAUUUCUUUAUUAAAUUUCCCAGUUGAAA